rnacentral:tRNA from 1 species
GACCUUGUGGCUCAGUUGGUAGAGCAUGGUGUUUGCAACGCCAGCAUGGUGUGUGCAACGCCAGGGUUGUGGGUUCGAUUCCCACGGGGGGCC